rnacentral:rRNA from 1 species
UACGUAGGGUGCAAGCGUUGUCCGGAAUUAUUGGGCGUAAAGAGCUCGUAGGCGGUUCGUCGCGUCGGCUGUGAAAACCCGGGGCUCAACCCCGGGCCUGCAUUCGAUACGGGCAGACUAGAGUUCGGUAGGGGAGUCUGGAAUUCCUGGUGUAGCGGUGAAAUGCGCAGAUAUCAGGAGGAACACCGGUGGCGAAGGCGGGACUCUGGGCCGAUACUGACGCUGAGGAGCGAAAGCGUGGGGAGCAAACAGG